UACGUAGGGGGCAAGCGUUGUCCGGAUUUAUUGGGCGUAAAGAGCGUGUAGGCGGCUUGGUAGGUCCGCUGUGAAAACUCGAGGCUCAACCUCGAGAUGUCGGCUGAAACCAUCUGGCUAGAGUCCGGAAGAGGAGAAUGGAAUUCCCGGUGUAGCGGUGAAAUGCGCAGAUAUCGGGAAGAACACCCGUGGCGAAGGCGGUUCUCUGGGACGGUACUGACGCUGAGACGCGAAAGCGUGGGGAGCGAACAGG
rnacentral:rRNA from 1 species